GUAAUUCCAGCUCUCAAAAUGUACUUAACCAUUGUUGCGGUAAAAAGCUGGUAGUUGGAUAUACNCUGCGCGGAACGGUUCGUUCAUUGAGCGUUAACUGUUUCACGUGGCUCUCUUUUGUCGGUUUUCGGCUAGUGCCCUUAACGGGGUGUUAGUUGCGGCUGACGCUUUUACCUUGAAUAAAUUAGAGUGCUUAAAACAGGCGUUUAGCUUGAAUAUGCUAGCAUGGAAUAAUGGAAUAGGACUUUGGUUCGAUUUUAUUGGUUUUAUGAAUUGAAGUAAUGAUUAGUAGGAUCAAACGGGGGCAUCCGUAUUGAUACGUGAGAGGUGAAAUUCUGGGACCGUAGCAAGACGACCGACUGCGAAAGCAUUUGCCAAGAAUGUUUUCAUUAAUCAAGAACGAAAGUUAGGGGAACAAAAGCGAUCAGAUACCGCCNUAGUCCUAACCAUAAACUNUGCCCACUAGCGAUCCGUCGGCGGUUUUUUUGCCNUGAUGGGGAGCUUCCCGGAAACGAAAGUCUUCCGGUUCCNNGGNAAGUAUGGUUGCAAAGCUGAAACUUAAAGAAAUUGACGGAAGGGCACCACCAGGAGUGGAGCCGCAUUNAANUUC
rnacentral:rRNA from 1 species